GCUUGGGUGGCUCAGUCGGUUGAGCGUCUGACUUCAGCUCAGGUCAUGAUCUCACAGUCCGUGGGUUCGAGCUCCGCACCAGGCU
rnacentral:tRNA from 1 species